UAUAAUGUCACCAAAGCCAGUGAGUUAUCCUUCAUAUAUGGCAUUAUAAUCUCCUUUAGUUUGAGCCAUUUGGAUGUCUUAGAGUAGGACAUAGUUCAACUGUAAUACAUGUGUAGAUUUAAAUAAACCAAUCAAUGUUACUGUGAUGUCCAAUCUAAAUUAAAGUGUUCAUAAGCUGUUGAAGAUCAAUGGUUAAAAUCAAGAAUCUAUCUGAGAAGGCCGAGUGCAAACCGCAAAAUAAUACUAACACAUGUGAGGGAUAAUAUAUAUACAUAUCUUAAUAUAUAGUUGGGCUGCAUUGGAAGACAAAAGCUGUUUCUGAAAUAAUCUGAGUCGCUUGGUAGAUGGAUUAAAAAUGUGAGCCUGGUGAGAAGCUGAUUCCCAUACCAGACAUUACUCCCUGGAGAACUACCUCAUAACUUCAUGAUUUAAUAUUAAUUGUUGUAGACAUAAGCUUAUCAUGUUCAGAAUCAUUAACUUAAAAUUAACCAUUUAUGGAAAUAUUGUGCAUGCCAUAGAAAAUGGAACUUGUUGGUAUCAUAAGAGUUUAUUAGCCAAUAAGAAUGGUUAAAAAUGUAAUGAUAAUUAGUACUAAAAAAGAGAGCAAUAUCUAUGCCGUAAAGAUUCAUACACAAUCAUUGCAUUAUCCACCAUUCAUGUCAAUGAUGAUUGAAAAAAUGACAGUGUAAUACAUAGAUAUUUUUCUCUUCCAAAAAUCUUAGACUUAUGAGAAAUGCACUAAAAUGAAUGUGAAGUUAUGUAUUGAGAAUCAUGUACCUUCAUGUGGCAUGAAAGGUAAUUAUGACGGAGAUAGUAGAAAGAGUAUUCAACGAGGGAAGGAGAAACACAACACACCCCGCGAGGGGAGAGUGGGGCCAAUAAAAAAAAGAAAGUGGCCGCCGAAAACUCUCCCCUCGCAACAACAAACUAAUAAUUUUAUUGAUUUUCUUUUGACCUGCCAAGCAAGCGCACCGGACAUGGCAAAGGUCUAGUAGUAACAAAAUAUAACAAUCAACGUAACAAGUACCUUACGAGUCUACGACUGUAUCAGUAUGCAUAACACGAGGUCUCUCUCACAGACAUAACUUCACACUGUAUAAGAUAAUAAUCUCCUAAAGGAUCGUACCGAUACAAUCGAAAUUAUACAAUCAAUCUCGCGUUAUUUGAACAAUUCCUUCACUAGGUGAAACCAAUUUCUCUGUUCUCGAACUAGAAGCAGAACUACUCAUCCAGAUCCAAUGUAAAAAUACAAAAUCCAUGUCGGUUAACGACGCAAUCAAGACCUGUAAAAAUUCGACAUAUUCAGAUCCAAUAAUAAGACAAGAAAUAAGAACCGGACUCGAAAAUUCGCAGAUCCAAAACUCACCUUAUCAAAAUCAAAACCAGAUCGAAGUAUUCCUCGCCUACGUCAAAUAAAUUUCUUCAUCCCUGAACGAGAACGAUUCCGUGAAAUCGAGAGCGAGAAUUCGAGCGGAUCUUGCAAAGAAUCAUCGCUUAAAACGUGAUCAAGGUUCAAUUCGCGGUGAUUUGACCGAGUCAGAUGGCGCCUAAUAGGGUUUCCCGCGAUGAGGGGGAUAUGAGGGGUUAUGGUGAUUUAUAUAGUGGAGUUUGAUGAAAAAGGUUUAACUCGCUCAUAAUACACCGUUGGUAUAGACGGUGAUAGGAAAUCGCAUCAGUUCAUUUUAAUCAAAUAAAACACUGAAUGGGUAGGUAAUGUAUUUGCGGUCACAAAGAAAGGAAGGUUCUCGAUAAACUAUAUAUUUUUGCCUCACACCGUGAGACGUGUUUCGCGUGUCGUUCUUUGAGGCCAG
rnacentral:lncRNA from 1 species